GUGUCAGCAGCCGCGGUAAGACGAAGGGGGCUAGCGUUGUUCGGAAUUACUGGGCGUAAAGCGCGUGUAGGCGGUUGCCAAAGUCGGGUGUGAAAGCCUUGAGCUCAACUCAAGAAAUGCACUCGAUACUUGGUGACUAGAGGACCGGAGAGGAUAGUGGAAUUCCCAGUGUAGUGGUGAAAUACGUAGAGAUUGGGAAGAACACCAGUGGCGAAGGCGGCUAUCUGGACGGUUUCUGACGCUAAGACGCGAAAGCGUGGGGAGCAAACAGGAUUAGAAACCCUAGUAGUCC
rnacentral:rRNA from 1 species